rnacentral:lncRNA from 1 species
CUGCAGGCACUCAGUAUUUAUAGGGCGCCCCACAGCAGGUGCCACUUACAAAAAAAGGCCCUGUGAGUAUGAGUGGCCAAGUGUCAUCCCAUGACCCGGAGGUCACGCCGCUGUUGGUGCACAAUGGCUCACGGGAGAAGGGUCCCUUCCAUCAGCAAAUGACAAGCAGCGGUCUGUCUGGUCAGUCACACCUCUCACCAAAUGCAAAGCUGUUGAUGUGUUCAUUGGAGUCUCUGGAAUGCAUUCAUGCUCAAAUGUGCGGCUGUCAUCAUGGCCUACUAGUGGACCCUGGUAGAUCCAGGGAGUCAGAUACUCCCUUGUAGCUGACCACAGGACAGCAGGCUGCCAAGGCUCAGGCUCCUCAUGCCCAGAGGCACAAGAUCAGCCCUGUGAAGAGUGCGCCAUGCAGCGCCGGGCCAUUAACGGAGCAGCGGUGCUCCGUCUCUGCCAAAGGACCACGCAGAGGGCAGCAUGCUAUCUUCAGCCAUUAAGCACAGUCACAGAG